rnacentral:tRNA from 1 species
UCAUUAGUUUUUUAAUUAAAAGCUAGUAUGAAGGGCUGGAUGAAAAAUUUUCUGUCUCUAAUUAA